rnacentral:rRNA from 1 species
CAGUCGCCACGGUAAUACGAAGGGUGCAAGCGUUAAUCGGAAUUACUGGGCGUAAAGCGUGCGCAGGCGGUUCGCUAAGACAGAUGUGAAAUCCCCGGGCUUAACCUGGGAACUGCAUUUGUGACUGGCGGGCUAGAGUAUGGCAGAGGGGGGUAGAAUUCCACGUGUAGCAGUGAAAUGCGUAGAGAUGUGGAGGAAUACCGAUGGCGAAGGCAGCCCCCUGGGCCAAUACUGACGCUCAUGCACGAAAGCGCGGGGAGCAAACAGGAUUAGAUACCCCUGUAGUCCCUGUCUCUUAUAC